AAACCUUUUAAAAUUAAUUUAUUAUUUUAUGGGCAUUGGUAGGUUUUUAUUGUCAUCAUCAUUAAUAAUUUCUUUGCAUCCCACACCUAGAUAUCGACUACUUAGCAACAAACAACCUAAAAAAACUAUUCAAAUUUUACAUCAUCUCUCCCACACAAUUUCUCCAUCUUCAAAGGGAAGAAAUUUUUUCAACUAUUGUUCAAAGUGAAGAAACUUUUCAAC
rnacentral:lncRNA from 1 species